rnacentral:misc_RNA from 1 species
GUGUAAUGCUUCUAGGUCAUGUUGAUUCUACAAUCAAAGAACAUUUUAACUAAAACGUUAUUGCUACCACAUAAGAGACGGGAUUAGAAUUGUAACCCCUCGGAGCUAAGUCCUAAACACAUAGCUAUAUCUCUUGCAAGAUUAAUUAAUUAGGUUGAAUUGCCCAUAUAUUAGUCCAAGAAUCUUGGUACUCUCAGGAGGUUUACCCUGAUAAUUUUCCCAAAUGAACCUUCUAAAAGAAGUUUAACUUCCUCCAAUCUUUAGCAACACACUCAAACAAUAUGAGAUAUGUUUAACUCCAAUUCUUUCUGUUUUAGCUAAUCUUUCCCCCUCCUUUUCCUUUGCCUUGAAUCCUUGGUGCCCCAAGAAAGUGUAAAUGGUUGGCAUGGUAAACACCCAGAAUUUUAGGGUACAACACUGAUACUAAUGAGCAAUGAUGGUAAAAGUCUGACUUUACAACACAAAACGGACAUGCAUAAACUAGCAUAUUGUAACAAAAAUAUCAUGCUAUUCUUGUGGAUAUAGCAAUGUCAAGAACAGAGCAUAAAUAGUAUGAAUAUUCUAUAGAACAAGGAACAGAAGCUUAAACCGUUGAACAUUAAUCAUCAAAUUUCACAAGCUAAAAUGAAGGAAUUAGACAUAGAUGAAGUGGUAAGAUCAAGAAAAGAGAAAGGGAGGGGAGGGGGCCAAGAAAAAGCAAAACAAACAGAUGUAAUUCCAAUUGGGCACAUACAUUCAUUCAGGAUUUUCACCAACUAUAGAAACGGAAUGCUAUGUUCAGAAUUUUCACUUACUAGCACAAAAUAUUUAGAUAAACUAGGAUUCUACACACAACAGAACAUAUAUGUAGUCCAAGUCCGUUACACCAAAUUUCAAAACCUUAAGACACAGUUGAAGGUCCCAUUGAAUUGCCUCAGCUAGAACAACAUAGGCCCCUUAGAGUAAAUUCACUAACAUUUAAAAAUGCAUGACAUACUUGCCUUUUUUAGCUCCACCUUAGGUGG